rnacentral:tRNA from 1 species
GCCUUCGUAGUGUAGUGGUAAACACGCUCGAAGCGUAUUCGAGAGGUCACCGGUUCGAGUCCCGGCGAGGGCA